CUUGGGAAGGGCCAUAGCGCAGUGGUAGAACAUCUGCUUUGCAUGCAAAAGGUCCUGGGUUCAAACCCCAGUAUUUCAAGG